UACGGAGGGGGCUAGCGUUGUUCGGAAUUACUGGGCGUAAAGCGUGCGCAGGCGGUUUGUUAAGUCUGCUGUGAAAGCCCGGGGCUUAACUCCGGGUCUGCAUUCGAUACGGGCUAGCUAGAGUGUGGUAGGGGAGAUCGGAAUUCCUGGUGUAGCGGUGAAAUGCGCAGAUAUCAGGAGGAACACCGGUGGCGAAGGCGGAUCUCUGGGCCAUUACUGACGCUGAGGAGCGAAAGCGUGGGGAGCGAACAGG
rnacentral:rRNA from 1 species